AAGAAGCCACGCCUUGACGCUUCUGUCCGUCAGCUUCCGCAAGUGGCAGGAUGCCGUAGCUAAGCGGCAGAAGGCCCGAACUUUGCAGCAGCAGGAGAUGGCCACCAGCGCAAAAGGUUUACCGGAAAGAGAGAGGGUAACAAAACUCCCGGGUUUUUGCCAGCUUUCUGAAGAGGAGAUGCAAGACGUCGCCCGGUACAGCAGGGCCGAGGGGGUUCUAUGGUUGCAGCUCCGCCACACGCAUGGAGCGGAGGAGCUGUGCAGGAAGGCGGAGGCAGUCCGAGACGUG